rnacentral:rRNA from 1 species
UACGUAGGGUGCAAGCGUUAAUCGGAAUUACUGGGCGUAAAGCGUGCGCAGGCGGUUAUAUAAGACAGUUGUGAAAUCCCCGGGCUACAACCUGGGAACUGCAUCUGUGACUGUAUAGCUAGAGUACGGUAGAGGGGGAUGGAAUUCCGCGUGUAGCAGUGAAAUGCGUAGAUAUGCGGAGGAAUACCAAAGGCGAAGGCAGUGUUCUGGGUGGUACCUGACGCUCAGGGGCGAAAGCUAGGGGAGCGAACGGG